rnacentral:lncRNA from 1 species
CUUUCAGGAGACACCUGUGUCAGGCACGACGUGGUGAACUUUUAAAAACGGAUUCAGUAGUACCAAAAUACUCAUAAUGUGCAGACAGACAAAAGAACUGGAAGGAGUCGUGUUUUCAGACACAGGAAGCUUUUCACGUGCUCCACCUGGACCUCAUCUCUCAGCCUCACACUCCGAUCUUCAGCAGCCCCCGCUAUGCGCCCGAGUCUUGGGACGUCAUCCCGGAGCUCCUAGCCUGCCCGGGAGGCAGAGCCAUCAGGUAAGAGACGGUCACAAUGACAGCAACACAAUCCCGCUUGGGUUCUCUGUACAGAGUUUUCCUUUUAAAAUACCUUUUCCACUGAUGUUAUUUAAAAAUAACAACCUCAGAGUAGACUUCUGAUCUCUACCACAGGGCAGGUACAUCCCUCCCUUUUUAUGAGUAAUUCCUGCAGGGGUUAUAGCACGGCCUCCAGGUCACACGGGCUACACAAAAACACUUAGCCCAGUUUUCUAACUCCCAGGGAGUGAAGGAAUCACUAUUUUAAAAGGUGGCAAGCUUUUUUCUCCUUUACUCAGAUUUAACUCUGAUAGAAACUGACAGGCUCAAUCUUGGUUAAUUUUUUUUUUUUAAACACGAGAACAAGGUUCAAGAAAUUCAUCUUCAGGUGUCAGAGAGACGAAAAGAACCCAAUAGCUUUUAUCUUCAAGUCCUACAUUUAUGCAUCUCGUAAUGAGGGUGAUGGCUGGUUCCCUUACAACGGAGGGCUUCAUGCCUAGUGAACAACGGACCUGAAUUUAUAUCAGCCAUAAAGCCUUCCAGACGUGACGGUCACGCUAACAUCCUGACAUGAGGCAAUCUGCAGAGAGAUGGAAAGUGUGCUUGGCUAGAG